rnacentral:lncRNA from 1 species
AGACAUGAAGGGGCAAGAUCCAGGAUUGUGUGAACAGAGCAUUGAGCACAGUACUCCUUGCCUGUAGCCACAUUGAUAUCUUCACUCUUUAGUAGAUGCUUGCUGAAUACCUGCUGCACGCCAAGUGUGCAGCCAGGCCCUGGGGUCCAGCAGGCCGUGAGAUGGAGACAGGGCUGGAGAGGUGGCUCAGUGGUUGGGAGCACAGGCUGCUCUUCCAGAGGACCCAGGUUCAAUUCCCAGCACCUACAUGGCAGCUCACAACUGCCUGUAACUCAUUUUUCAGGGGAUCUGGCACCUUCACACAGAAAUACAUGUAGACAAAACAUUAAUGCACAGG